rnacentral:rRNA from 1 species
ACGGAAAGACCCCGUGAACCUUUACUAUAGCUUGACACUGAACAUUGAGCCUUGAUGUGUAGGAUAGGUGGGAGGCUUUGAAGUGUGGACGCAAGUCUGCAUGGAGCCGACCUUGAAAUACCACCCUUUAAUGUUUGAUGUUCUAACGUUGGCCCGUAAUCCGGGUUGCGGACAGUGUCUGGUGGGUAGUUUGACUGGGGCGGUCUCCUCCUAAAGAGUAACGGAGGAGCACGAAGGUUGGCUAAUCCUGGUCGGACAUCAGGAGGUUAGUGCAAUGGCAUAAGCCAGCUUGACUGCGAGCGUGACGGCGCGAGCAGGUGCGAAAGCAGGUCAUAGUGAUCCGGUGGUUCUGAAUGGAAGGGCCAUCGCUCAACGGAUAAAAGGUACUCCGGGGAUAACAGGCUGAUACCGCCCAAGAGUUCAUAUCGACGGCGGUGUUUGGCACCUCGAUGUCGGCUCAUCACAUCCUGGGGCUGAAGUAGGUCCCAAGGGUAUGGCUGUUCGCCAUUUAAAGUGGUACGCGAGCUGGGUUUAGAACGUCGUGAGACAGUUCGGUCCCUAUCUGCCGUGGGCGCUGGAGAACUGAGGGGGGCUGCUCCUAGUACGAGAGGACCGGAGUGGACGCAUCACUGGUGUUCGGGUUGUCAUGCCAAUGGCACUGCCCGGUAGCUAAAUGCGGAAGAGAUAAGUGCUGAAAGCAUCUAAGCACGAAACUUGCCCCGAGAUGAGUUCUCCCUGACUCCUUGAGGGUC